rnacentral:rRNA from 1 species
AGCNGGCUAACCAUGCAAGUCGAGGGGCAGCAUUUCAGUUUGCUUGCAAACUGGAGAUGGNGANCGCCCCUAANANGAGUAANANGUUAUCCAACCUGCCGAUAACUCGGNCCNUUNANANUUCGAAAGAAAGAUUAAUACCCGAUGGNAUAAUCAGACCGCAUGGUCUGAUUAUUAAAGAAUUUCGGUUAUCGAUGGGGAUGCGUUCCAUUAGGCAGUUGGUGAGGUAACGGCUCACCAAACCUUCGAUGGAUAGGGGUUCUGAGAGGAAGGUCCCCCACAUUGGAACUGAGACACGGUCCAAACUCNUACGGGAGGCAGCAGUGAGGAAUAUUGGUCAAUGGGCGCAGGCCUGAACCAGCCAAGUAGCGUGAAGGAUGACUGCCCUAUGGGUUGUAAACUUCUUUUAUAUGGGAAUAUUUGUUUUCCACGUGUGGAAUUUUGUAUGUACCAUAUGAAUAAGGAUCGGCUAACUCCGUGCCAGCAGCCGCGGUAAUACGGAGGAUCCGAGCGUUAUCCGGAUUUAUUGGGUUUAAAGGGAGCGUAGGUGGACCAGUUAAGUCAGUUGUGAAAGUUUGCCGGCUCCAACCGUAAAAUUGCAGUUGAUANCUGGCCUGUCNUUGAGUACAGUAGAGGUGGGCCGGNAAUUCGUGGUGUAGCCGGUGAAAUGCUUAGAUAUCACGAAGAACUCCGAUUGCGAAGGCAGCUCACUGGACUGCAACUGACACUGAUGCUCGAAAGUGUGGGUAUCAAACAGGAUUAGAUACCCCUGGUAGUCCACACAGUAAAACGAUGAAUACUCGCUGGUUUGCGAUAUACAGUAAGCGGGCCAAGCGAAAGCAUUAAGGNAUUCCACCUGGGGAGUACGCCGGCAACGGUGAAACUCAAAGGAAUUGACGGGGGCCCGCACAAGCGGAGGAACAUGUGGUUUAAUUCGAUGAUACGCGAGGAACCUUACCCGGGCUUAAAUUGCAUUUGAAUAUUNUGGAAACAGNUUAGCCGCAAGGCAAAUGUGAAGGANAANCAUGGUUGUCGUCAGCUCGUGCCGUGAGGUGUCGGCUUAAGUGCCAUAACGAGCGCAACCCUUAUCUUUAGUUACUAACAGGUCAUGCUGAGGACUCUAGAGAGACUGCCGUCGUAAGAUGUGAGGAAGGUGGGGAUGACGUCAAAUCAGCACGGCCCUUACGUCCGGGGCUACACACGUGUUACAAUGGGGGGUACAGAAGGCAGCUACCUGGUGACAGGAUGCUAAUCCCAAAAGCCUCUCUCAGUUCGGAUCGAAGUCUGCAACCCGACUUCGUGAAGCUGGAUUCGCUAGUUNUNNANNGUCAGCCAUGGCGCGGUGAAUACGUUCCCGGGCCUNNUUUAAAGGGGCCCNUCAANCCAUGAAAGCCGGGGGUACCUGAAGUACGUAACCGCAAGGAGCUCCUAGGAAUC